AUUGCAAGUGACGAUAAGACAGACAGGGACAUCAGAAAUCCUAUCUUUAGGAUGACAAAAUGUUGAUCGUCUUGGGAAUCUCUCUGAUUCUUU